rnacentral:rRNA from 1 species
GUCCACGCCCUAAACGAUGCUUACUCGAUGUUUGGGUUUCGGCCUGAGCAUCCAAGGGAAACCAUUAAGUAAGCCACCUGGGGAGUACGUUCGCAAGAAUGAAACUCAAAGGAAUUGACGGGGUCGCACAAGCGGUGGAGCAUGUGGUUUAAUUCGAUGAUACGCGAGGAACCUUACCUGGGCUCGAAUGGUACUGGACAGUUUUGUGAAAGCAAGACGUUCCUUCGGGACUGGUAUCAAGGUGCUGCAUGGUUGUCGU